rnacentral:misc_RNA from 1 species
GAUGAAGAACGCAGCGAAAUGCGAUAAGUAAUGUGAAUUGCAGAAUUCAGUGAAUCAUCGAAUCUUUGAACGCACCUUGCGCUCUUUGGUAUUCCGAAGAGCAUGCCUGUUUGAGUGUCAUGAAAAUAUCAACUUUGACUUGGGUUUUGUGCUCUAGUCUCGGCUUGGAAUUGGGUGCUUGCCGCUUUUACGAGCGGCUCACCUUAAAUGUAUUAGCUGGAUCUGUCUUUGAGACUUGGUUUGACUUGGCGUAAUAAGUAUUUCGCUAAGGACAUUCUUCGGAGUGGCCUCGUUUCUAGGACGCUUGUCCGCUUUCCAAUACAAGUUCCACCUCGUGGACAUGACUUUUUAUUAUCUGGCCUCAAAUCAGGUAGGACUACCCGCUGAACUUAAGCAUAUCAAUAAGCGGAGGA